AAGAACUUACACGUUAUACACACGCGAAUGUAUGAGAGCUAUAAACACACAGGUGCGCGCGCGCGCAGUGCACUUCGACAUCAUAUUGCGGAAGACAUCCAUAGAUCAAAGCCAUCGACUUUAAUGACUUUUAAUGUUAUACAAGAGUCAUGGAAUUAGUUGUAAAACAUAUUGUACCCAUAACACUAGUUAUCCAGUUUUCAACAGUUACAUCAAGAACACGGAAUUUUUCAAUCGACGAAGGACAGCCGCCAUUGCGAAGAACUGAGUGGCAAGGGAGUUGCCCGAUUUUCACGAAGAGGAAAAAAAUACUUAGACAAAAUUUUACAAGGCAUAAAUAACACAUUAGUCGAUUAUAUUUACUCACGUGUGAUAUAAACCUUGUGAUAUCAAGUUGUAUGUUGAGAUCCUUUUCAUCGGACUGAUCCAACGUAGCGAUGAAUAUAACAGCUACAUUCGUUGCUUCGUUAAAGUUUUAGCACAUAUUACGUAGGCCACAGGUAGCUCGAGUAAGCAGAAGCCAUUAACCAUUAGCAUGUCCUUGCCUGACGUAACAAUAGUAAAGUGCUGCCACUGCAUUCCAAAUUGCGGCGGAAACACGAAACAUAUGCGAAUCUUGUCUGAUUGGCUGAAAUAAAAUUGCAUCAUAAUAAACGAUUACAAAUUUAGAACAUGAAUCUACCACGAAAAAUAUAUUUUACGUAUAAAUAAAUAUGUUGUAAUUUAUCGAAAGAUUUAUCGAUAUGUUAGAAAAAGAAAACUAAAAUGUUUAAAACUAAAAACAUUCAAAUAUUUCCAUAAAAAAAACUAUUCUGAACUGUUAAUAUUCUUUAUUCAUAUGGUUGCUUUCUUUAACGUCACAUUUGUUUAAUUAUAAAAUUUAUUAUGUAUAUACUUUUA